rnacentral:rRNA from 1 species
GGUCAAGCUACUAAGGGCAUGUGGUGGAUGCCUUGGUGCCAAGAGGCGAUGAAGGACGUGGUUAGCUGCGAUAAGCUUCGGGGAGCCGCUAAGCGGGCUUUGAUCCGAAGAUCUCCGAAUGGGGGAACCCAUCCAGAGUAAUGUCUGGAUAUCCUGUUGAUGAAUCCAUAGUCGACGGGAGGCGAACGAGGGGAACUGAAACAUCUAAGUACCCUCAGGAAAAGAAAGAAAUUCUCGAUUCUCAAAGUAGCGGCGAGCGAAAUGGGAAGAGCCUAAACCGGGUAUACGUAUAGCCUGUGAGUGUUGUAUAUUCGGUGUCGUAGGAUUUUGUCUGAGGCUUUCACAGAAGCUUCGAGGAGUUACAAAGCUGUUUCGUAGGAGAAUAACAUGGAAAGGUUAACCAUAGCGGGUGAUAGUCCCUUAAACGAAACGAAGCAGCCUCCUUGGAUGAAAUCCUGAGUACCACGGGACACGUGAAAUCCUGUGGGAAGCUAGGAGGACCAUCUCCUAAGGCUAAAUACUACUUGGCGACCGAUAGUGCACAAGUACCGUGAGGGAAAGGUGAAAAGAACCCCGUUGAGGGGAGUGAAAUAGUACCUGAAACCGCAUGCUUACAUGCAGUGGUAGCCUGUAGCAAUACGGGUGACCGCGUACCUUUUGCAUAAUGAGUCAGUGAGUUACUCUAUGCAGCGAGGUUAAGCCGAUAGAGGUGGAGCCGUAGCGAAAGCGAGUCUGAAUAGGGCGAUUAGUUGCAUGGAGUAGACCCGAAGCCAGGUGAUCUAUCCAUGGCCAGGAUGAAGUCCCGUUAACCCGGGACGGAGGUCCGAACCCACUGGGGUUGAAAACUCAGGGGAUGAGCUGUGGAUAGGAGUGAAAGGCUAAACAAACCUGGAAAUAGCUGGUUCUCCCCGAAAUAUAUUGAGGUAUAGCCUCCCAUGAUCGGUUAUGGAGGUAGAGCACUGAAUGGGCUAGGGGUCCUACAAGGCUACCAAACCCAACCAAACUCCGAAUGCCAUAACCCAAAGUGGGGGAGUCAGACUGCGAGUGAUAAGAUCCGUAGUCAAAAGGGAAAGAGCCCAGACCACCAGUUAAGGUCCCUAAAAUGUGCUAAGUGGAAAAGGUUGUGGGUCCACUAAAACAGCCAGGAGGUUGGCUUAGAAGCAGCCAUCCUUUAAAGAAAGCGUAACAGCUCACUGGUCUAGCAGACCUGCGCCGAAAAUGUAACGGGGCUAAGCACAUUACCGACGCUGUGGAUUCGUACCUCUGGUACGGAUGGUAGGGGAGCAUUCUGCUUACCUGUGAAGGUGUCUCGUGAGAGGCGCUGGAGGACGCAGAAGAGAGUAUGCUGACAUGAGUAACGAUAAACAAGGUGAAAAACCUUGUCGCCGUAAGCCCAAGGUUUCCUGAGCAAGGGUAAUCCUCUCAGGGUUAGUCGGUCCCUAAGGCGAGGCCGAAAGGCGUAGCUGAUGGGAAACAGAUUAAUAUUUCUGUACCACCAGAUGAGCGUUUGAGCGAAGAGGGGACGGAGAAGGGUAAGUCAUCCGGGUGACGGAAUACCCGGUUCAAGCAGGUAGGGGGAUCUUAUAGGCAAAUCCGUGAGAUCAUAACCCCGAGAUGUGAUGAGGAGCUCUUUUAGAGCAUAAACUGGCUGAUCCCACGCUUCCAAGAAAAGCCUCGUAGUGAGCUUGUCUGAUGACCGUACCGUAAACCGACACAGGUGGGCGAGGAGAGAAUCCUAAGGCGCUUGAGACAACCCUGGUUAAGGAACUUAGCAAAAUUGCACCGUAACUUCGGGAGAAGGUGUGCUUUGGAAUGUGUAAGAACUUGCUUCUGAAGCAUUCCGGAGCUGCAACAAAGAGGGGGUGGCGACUGUUUACUAAAAACACAGGACUCUGCAAACUCAUAAGAGGAAGUAUAGGGUCUGACGCCUGCCCGGUGCUGGAAGGUUAAGGGGAGAUGUCAUUCUAAGAAAUUGGGAGAAGCGUUGAACCGAAGCCCCAGUAAACGGCGGCCGUAACUAUAACGGUCCUAAGGUAGCGAAAUUCCUUGUCGGGUAAGUUCCGACCUGCAUGAAUGGCGUAACGAUUGCCCCGCUGUCUCAACCAGGGACUCAGUGAAAUUGUAAUGGGGGUGAAGAUACCCUCAACCCGCGGCUAGACGGAAAGACCCCGUGCACCUUUACUACAGCUUGACAGUGGAUUUCGGGGUAACAUGUGUAGGAUAGGUGGGAGGCUUUGAAGCGGUGACGCUAGUUGCCGUGGAGCCAACGUUGAAAUACCACCCUUGUUGUUUUGAGAUUCUAACUCUGGCCCGUAAUCCGGGUCGAGGACACUGUCUGGUGGGUAGUUUGACUGGGGCGGUCGCCUCCAAAAAAGUAACGGAGGCGCACGAAGGUUGGCUCAGGCUGAUUGGAAACCAGCCGAUGAGUGCAAAGGCAUAAGCCAGCCUGACUGUGAGACCUACAAGUCGAGCAGGAACGAAAGUUGGUCUUAGUGAUCCGGUGGUUCCAAAUGGAAGGGCCAUCGCUCAACGGAUAAAAGGUACGCCGGGGAUAACAGGCUUAUCUCCCCCAAGAGUUCACAUCGACGGGGAGGUUUGGCACCUCGAUGUCGGCUCAUCGCAUCCUGGGGCUGAAGUAGGUCCCAAGGGUUUGGCUGUUCGCCAAUUAAAGCGGUACGUGAGCUGGGUUUAGAACGUCGUGAGACAGUUCGGUCCCUAUCUGCCGUGGGCGCAGGACAAUUGAGGAGGGCUGUCCCUAGUACGAGAGGACCGGGAUGGACGGACCUCUAGUGUACCGGUUGUCACGCCAGUGGCACGCGCCGGGUAGCUAUGUUCGGAAAGGAUAACCACUGAAAGCAUCUAAGUGGGAAGCCUGCUCCAAGAUGAGUUGUCCCGCCUGAUAGCAAUAUUGGGCUAAGACCCCACGUAGACUACGUGGUUGAUAGGCUGAUGGUGUAAGCAUAGUGAUAUGUUGAGCCUACCAGUACUAAUAGGUCGAGAGGCUUGGCCAU